UCCUGACAGAUGUUCCACAUGGAACAAUCUGACACUAGCCACGACAGGAGAACAUAAUG
rnacentral:sRNA from 12 species